rnacentral:rRNA from 1 species
GGCCGCGCAAGUCAUCGGGAAAUCCACCCGCCCAACGGGUGGCCGUCCGGUGGAAACUGCACGGCUUGGGACCGGAAGGCGCGACGGGUACGUCCAGGGUAGGAGUGAAAUCCCGUAAUCCUGGACGGACCGCCGAUGGCGAAAGCACGUCGCGAGAACGGAUCCGACAGUGAGGGACGAAAGCUAGGGUCUCGAACCGG